UACGAAGGGGGCUAGCGUUGCUCGGAAUUACUGGGCGUAAAGGGCGCGUAGGCGGAUAUUUAAGUCGGGGGUGAAAGCCCAGGGCUCAAUCCUGGAAUUGCCUUCGAUACUGGAUAUCUUGAGUUCGGGAGAGGUGAGUGGAAUGCCGAGUGUAGAGGUGAAAUUCGUAGAUAUUCGGCGGAACACCAGUGGCGAAGGCGACUCACUGGCCCGAUACUGACGCUGAGGCGCGAAAGCGUGGGGAGCAAACAGG
rnacentral:rRNA from 1 species